UACGUAGGAGGCAAGCGUUGUCCGGAAUCACUGGGCGUAAAGGGCGCGUAGGCGGCCUGGUAAGCGUGCGGUGAAAGCCCGGGGCUCAACCCCGGGUCGGCCGUGCGAACUGCGAGGCUGGAGCACUGUAGAGGCAGGUGGAAUUCCGGGUGUAGCGGUGAAAUGCGCAGAUAUCAGGAAGAACACCCGUGGCUAAGGCGGCUCUCUAGUACGGUACUGACGCUGAGACGCGAAAGCGUGGGGAGCGAACAGG
rnacentral:rRNA from 1 species